GAGAGCCGUAUACAUCGAGGGGUGUACGUACGGUUCGGAGGGGAGGUCUUGGAAACCUAUCUUUGGAAUCGGAAACUGCUUACGCUAC
rnacentral:ncRNA from 1 species